rnacentral:tRNA from 1 species
GGGCCAGUGGCGCAAUGGAUAACGCGUCUGACUACGAAUCAGAAGAUUCCAGGUUCGACUCCUGGCUGGCUCG